rnacentral:rRNA from 1 species
GAUGAACGCUGGCGGCGUGCCUAAUACAUGCAAGUCAAGCGAACGGACGAGAAGCUUGCUUCUCUGAUGUUAGCGGCGGACGGGUGAGUAACACGUGGAUAACCUACCUAUAAGACUGGGAUAACUUCGGGAAACCUGAGCUAAUACCGGAGAAUAUUUUGAACCGCAUGGUUCAAAAGUGAAAGACGGUCUUGCUGUCACUUAUAGAUGGAUCCGCGCUGCAUUAGCUAGUUGGUAAGGUAACGGCUUACCAAGGCAACGAUGCAUAGCCGACCUGAGAGGGUGAUCGGCCACACUGGAACUGAGACACGGUCCAGACUCCUACGGGAGGACGCAGUAGGGAAUCUUCCGCAAUGGGGGAAAGCCUGACGGAGCAACGCCGCGUGAGUGAUGAAGGUCUUCGGCUCGUAAAACUCUGUUAUUAGGGAAGAACAUAUGUGUAAGUAACUGUGCACAUCUUGACGGUACCUAAUCAGAAAGCCACGGCUAACUCCGUG